UACACCUCUAAAAGUCAAAAGUGUACAAAUAUGACAACUCAUUUACGUCAGGUCAAAGUGCAGCUAAUAAAAGGGGGAUGAUGGGUUACAACCUUAAAAAAGACACGAAUUAAAGCACUAAAAGCUUUAUAAAGGUGGACUUGGCCGUAAUAAGUGUAUAAAACUUAUAUGAAAGUGAAUCUAAGACAUGCACACAUCGCCCGUCACUCUCACCUAAAGGCGAGAUAAGUCGUAACAAAGUAGGUGUAACGGAAGUUGCACCUG
rnacentral:rRNA from 1 species